rnacentral:lncRNA from 1 species
UUUUUUUAAAAAAAAAUAAGUCAAGAGCAAAAUGACAUCAAAAAGAAUAGUGUCCAACUAUGUUGGAACCCUACUCUCCUCUCUUGCCAAUUGCACAAACAUAUUAUUAAAAAAAAGGAAAAAUUACAUAAAAAUUAGGGGGACAUAAAACCUGACAUAGUCAACAACCCUAAUAGGGAUAAACAAAAACAAAAAAAAACCAUCCAUGAAGUGGGUCCAACCCUAAACAAUUCUAACAAUUAAACGCGGGUCUAAAGCUUGGCGAAUGAAUCGAUCGUCAACACAAAUCGGAUCAUGUAUCAUCAACUUCCUGCAACAACGACAGCAAGCAUUGACGACUCUUUCGAGUCCAUACAGUCUCAUGACAAUCAACAAGGUGACUGGGAUACCCGAGAAUGACGUAUGAAUUGUUUUCCAACACAGAAAGAUAAAUGAUUCAUCAACUCCCUAUAAAACAACAGCAAGCAAUAAUCGCCCUUUUCGAACCAAACCAUCCAUGAACAAGACGUUGCGAUCCAAAAAGAAUCAACACAAGCUGGAACUGAUUUUUCUAAAAGUAACACCUUCCCCAAUUUCUUGGUGCAAUAGAUGCAAACCCGUAAAAUUUGUAACCUGCAAAUAUCAUCAAACCUUGGUUAAAAUCAGGAAACAAAGCAAGACACAAAUCAGUACCAAUCACACAUUGAAACUGGACGUUUAAAGCAUAAACCAAUCUGUCUGAUUGCAAUCACGAAGGAUUGAGACGGAUUUUAAGCCAUUUCCCGAUUCCUACGUCAUGGUGGAAGCAAACCCAUUAGUGUUGAAUCCUGCAUAUCUCAACAGAUAUGGGUUAGAAUCGGAAAACUAAAGCAAGAUGAGAACCCCAGUCAGACGAACCGAGAAAAUUCCGAACGCGAUUCUUAGAUUAGAAAAGAUCUCAAUCCACGUUAUCAACACCAAAACACCCAUCAACCAUCGGUCCAUACGGACGUAAUAGGGUGAUAGGACAACGGCGCUGCUCACUAAGGAAACAACAGCCGCAGCUAAGAAAGAUAACCAUCCACCACUGUCGAGGACAACGGCGGCGUUGACCCGAGCAUACCCUAACGUGUCCAAAAAGACCACCAUAGGGUUUGACGGUGGUGCAGCCGUGAGGGCAUAACGCACCACUGCAGUGUAGGGCUACAUCAGAAAGGUUUGGGUAUUGGAUGAAGGUGAUGAUGUUGGGCGGCGGCUAGUUUAGUUUAGGUUAGAGAGAGGUUUGCAAGAGAGAGGUUCCUUCUUCUAUGCUUCAAUUUUUUAGAAAAUCUCUAGAUUCUUUUAACACAAAAUCUUUUAAAAAAGUGAUUUUUAUGGGUAGUAAACAAACAAAAAUAGCUUCAAUUUUUUUAGAAAAUCUCUAGAUUCUUUUAACACAAUCUUUUUUUUUUCGAGAAAUGUUAGUUGACAACUUUUUGGUUGUCCAACACCAUAUAUUUAUACUCUAUAAGUACUAUUUCAUUUUUUUUUUAUUAGUUAUUUCUCUCUCUUAUAUUCACAUCAAUAGCUAUUAAUUAUAUAUUUUUAUACGGAUUGUCAAAUAGUUGCUGCUUUUUGAAUUUUCAAAUAACAUUGCUCUUUUUUUAAAAACUGAAACAAUCGCAUCUAAGUCUACUAUAGGUGAUGGAUGAUAAAGAAAAGUUUGCAAAAAGAUGGAGACUCAUUGAUUCAACUAAGCUUUGGUAGACAACUUUAAGGAUGGUAACUUCACUAAUCCUUUCAAUUUUAUUCUUUGCAAGAUCAAAAUCAACAUUAUAAUUCAACACAUCUUCAAUUUUCUUUAUCUAUGCAAGUUUGCUCCCCAAGUGUCAAGCAUAAGGGACAAAAUGCAUCGUAGUGUGACAUGGAGUAGGUCAUAAUAAGAUCCUUUAUAACACUUUCCUAUUGGAUCAUCUUCAAUCGCAUACAAAAAGUUUAACAUUAACUUCAAGACAGUAUGACUUAAGUCACAAGUCAGAAAUUCAUUGGAAAGAAUUAUAUAACCAAUCUCUUAUAUAUCUUGGAUAAAUACAGUUAAUUUGAAUCAUAGGAGCAUAACAGUAACACAACAGAAGGCCAAAAAAAAAAAAAAAAUCACAAUCUUGCAUGCAAAAGUGUAAAAAAGAGCACAAAGCAGUUAUAUGAUAGAUGCAAUUCAAUGAUGUCUUCCCGCAAGGAAAGAAAACCUUGGAUAUUUACAAAUUACAAAUGCUACACAAACCUCAUGAUCAUUCACAACGCUAUUUUCGCCUUCUUUUCUUAUCAUAAUACAAUUCACAUUGUCCAACAAAUCACUUUUUGCCCCAAGCAAAGCAGCAACACUGGAGAAACAAAGAGUGCAAAGAUAAGCAUUAGUACAGUGAAAAACUAUGAAGCACUGACUGGUGCAGACGCCGACACUAGACACAAUACUAACCGAUAUAUACUUGUAAUAAUUUAAGAAAAUAAAAGUGAUUGAAUGUAACCACAUGUUAGUAUUGUGUUGUACAUUGACAUGUGUCAGACACCAACUACGCAUUCAAUUUGAAGUGUCGGUGCUGCAUAGUUGAAAACUCCAAAAUUUAUAGAUUUGCAAUGUGUUAAACAGGAGGGCAUACCUGAGCUUUGUCAUUAUUUUGGUUGCGGAUAACAUGCGGCCUCUCAUUAGGUGUGCCAGGUGCAUGUCCGGCCCCACCCUGUCUCUCCUCUCUCACUUUAUUGAAAAUGUGAGUAUAGCCAUCAGCUGAUGCAGGGUUACUCACAUCCCAAUCACCAAACUUUGGAACAGCUGCACCUUUAUCAGGCUGCAACAUCAGAAUGCCAAAAUCAUAACAUAUUCGCAAUAGAAAAUAUCACGAAGAUUCUAAGGUACAAUAAUAUAUAUGCAGAUUUUUACUCUUCAUGCCAUGCACAGUGAUAACAUACGACGGAAGAAAAGAAAAACUAACAGUUUCAUCCCCUCGAUUAGCUGGUCUUAAUCGAGAUCUUCCCGGUGUACCAUGGCUGCUGUCAUAGGAAUUAUUCUUUCCUUCCCAAGAGGGACUAUCUCUUCCAGCAGGAGCUCUAGCCUGACGAUGAAGGGGUGACCGUUCAACGCUGUGCUCAGACCCAGCAGUACUUUGUCUUGAAGGUCUUCGUCGGUUAUCAGCAGAACCUACUCCAAGACGAGGUGUAGAAUCAUUGGAACUCCUAUUGCUUGCAUUGUCAUGGCGAGCCGGAGAGUCAACAUAUUGCUUAGGAUCACCAUCAAGACUUUUAUGCGACUCAAUUGUUGAUCGCACCAAUCCCUUUCCAGAUAGAUCCUCUGAAUUGGCUCUGGGUUUGGUAUUGGAAGGAGGUGGAUGAUCAGACGAUGAAUUAUCAAGAACUAAAUCGACAUUUUCUUCAGGGUCAUUCGGGUUUAUCAUCUUUGUGCCAGUUCGACCUUUCCGUGCCUUGUCAAAAUAUGCUGUAUAAGGAACAUUAUCAUUACUCUCCCAAUUGCCAAAUUUUGGUACAUGAGUACGUUGCUGCCAAAUCAACACAUGAAAAAUAGUCUGUUAAGUAGAGUUUCAAUAAAAUAAAUGCCAGAGUACAUGUUUCAAACACUUGUAACUUCACUACUCACAUUCAAGAACCUUUGUUAUAAUUUUUAAAUAACAAGAGAACAAAGCAGUGAUUUUUUUUUCUUCCAUUUUUGUUGUAAUAAUCAUCAUACAUUGGUAUUUUAGGGAGAUAUAUUUAUAUUGGAUUUCAAAUUUGGACCCUUUGUGGUCUCGUGAACCAGAUUAAAUAAUCAAUUAUCUUGGUCCCCGAAACUGCUACACUUUCUAGAAGCUGGUAGAGAUUACACCAAAUAUCUCACUAUGAAGACUUUGUUUGGGUAAACAACUUAAUUAAGCGCUUCUAGAACAAAAGAUAAGUGUUUAUAUAUAAGUUAUUUCAAUAACAAAAGAUAAAAUAAAAUGAAGCUAUUUUUAUAUAAGCUAUAAGUUCAAGUUGUUCUCAUAAUCUAUCCUGGAGAUAAUCCUAUUCAAGGCAUGUCAAAUACUGAAUGUGGAUGCCUCUCUCAUCAUCAAAAUUUAAGGAUAUAUUCAUAAUUUUGUUAAUAAUUCCAUAAAAUCACCAAAAUUAUUUAACUUUUUGACCUAAGCAAAACUACAAUCUUGCAGUCAUACCCAACACAAUAUCGAAUUCAUACUAUACAUCAACUCUAGAAUUCAAAUAGGAUAAAGACCCUCAAUGAAUUGUGUUUUUUCAUUCAUUUACUCUUUUAUUUUUGUGUAACCAUUUGCUCAUUUUUAACUCUCACCUUAAUUAAUCACCCAAUAUAGUACGCAUUUUGCUAUAAAAAAUCAGGCCUUUGCUACCAUUUCGGAUUGAAACACAGAAGUUUUUUUUUUUAAAAAAAAACUCAGAUUCCAGCCCAAGAGCCGACUAAUCCAAUGGGUCCAAUCCCACCGUCCACUUGCGGAGGGGCCAUCGACACAGAAUAUAUAGUUAAAAGAUGAUAUGAUUGAACAUAACUUCAUCAUUCGUUAUUCAAUCACAAUUAAGAUGUAUGGUUCAAUAUUUUGAACCCAAAAUCCCUUCUCCGCAAAAUCUUACUAGGCCAACGAAUGAUUGUUAAAACAUACAAUAGAUUCUCUAUGCCUUUUCACUAAACUCAAACAGGGAAGUUAACAAAACCACAUAAUUCAUGUGAUAGUUCACAUAUACUUUAAUGUACCAAAAUAUGUGCAUUCUAAAUAGUACAAUCAGCACAUGUGCUACAGAAAAAUCCAAUGAGAAUCAUAAUUCAUACACCUCAUCCAAGUUGUUCCUCAACUCAAACAUGGGAUUGCAACUAAACAACAAACUCAUAGUUACAACUUAAGUAUCUGCUUGUUUUGACAGAUUUUGAUUCAACACAGGAUUCAAAUUAUACGAAAAUACAAUUACGAUUAUUGAUUAGAGAAAUGAUAUUUGAACAUCCAUUUUGUGACAACUUUUGUGACAACUUUCUCUCUCAUACUCACAUCAUAUUCUCAUUUUCUCUCUCUAUUGCUUUGGUUUUUGUGCCAAGACUCACAUUUCUUUCUAUAUUUUGGUUGUCCCACAAGUUGUCCUACAAAAUGGUUGUUCAAAUAACACUCCUCUAUUGAUUAUUAACAAGGUAAUUGAUUAAAUAAUUAGUAAAUAAAUUAUGAUAAAAAAAUAAAAAAUAAAUAAAAAAACUAGGCUAAGCUAAAUCAUAAACCCAGCAUGAUUAAUAUGAAACUAGCAUAAUUAGGUUCUUUGCUCAUAAACAAAUAAGAAGAUUCUAAUUCUAAUUGAAUUGCUUCCUUCAAGUUUCUAAGAAACCAAAAAAGGAAACUUUUCAUGCUUGAUCUAACAGUACAGAAAUAACAAAGUUGACCAAAAGAAGUUAAAGUCUAAUUUGGUCAACCAUUUCAAAACAAUUGAAGAUGAAAAUACACAUAAAACAUACAACAUAAUGCAAAAAACAUAAUCAUAGACACAUAUACAACAUAACCAAACCAUGAUCAGAAAGGUAAAAAUUUGUAUAGAGAGAAAAGAGAAGAAAAAAAAAACUUACUGCCAUUUUCUUCUAAGCUUGAAAAGCAAAAUUCUUGAAAAAGAAAUUAAAAAAUUAGGCUCUUUUUGGAUCAACCUCAGAAGAGGUAAAAACUGAGAGAACCCAAGAAGCUCCUCCACAAAAUUGAAUGCUUCAGCAAGAGAGAGAGAGAGAGAGCAAUUUAGAAAGAGGUUUAUCAACCGUUGACCGGAGCCACCGGUUAUGUUUGACUAUUAUUUUC